CCUACGGGUGGCAGCAGUGGGGAAUAUUGGACAAUGGGCGAAAGCCUGAUCCAGCCAUGCCGCGUGUGUGAAGAAGGCCUUCGGGUUGUAAAGCACUUUCAGUGGGGAAGAAAGCCUUGGGGCUAAUACCCUCGAGGAAGGACAUCACCCACAGAAGAAGCACCGGCUAACUCCGUGCCAGCAGCCGCGGUAAUACGGAGGGUGCGAGCGUUAAUCGGAAUUACGGGGCGUAAAGCGCGCGUAGGCGGUCUGAUAAGCCGGUUGUGAAAGCCCCGGGCUCAACCUGGGAACGGCAUCCGGAACUGUCAGGCUAGAGUGCAGGAGAGGAAGGUAGAAUUCCCGGUGUAGCGGUGAAAUGCGUAGAGAUCGGGAGGAAUACCAGUGGCGAAGGCGGCCUUCUGGACUGACACUGACGCUGAGGUGCGAAAGCGUGGGUAGCAAACAGGAUUAGAACCCCUGUAGUC
rnacentral:rRNA from 1 species